CAGUGGUAUCAACGAAUAAUUACAUGAUUCAUUGAGUUUUCGUUUUGUAUUUUUCCUUUGAUACAGGACUACACAUUUUACUAAUUUAAUAAACCUCAACACAAAUUGUGUUGUUUUGAUCGUCAUGUUAAUUUGUUAUCGAACAAAAUAAGCUUCUGCUACUUUUUAGUCUGCCAAAGAAAGUCUUGAAAUAAAGAAAAGUGGAGGUGAAAAUCAUUGACAAAACACAAACAGGGUUUGAUUAACGACAAAGAGUUUCUUUUUUUGUACGACUUGCAUACGGCAAAAGUCCUGACCUGCCAUAUUGGAAAUAAAGCGAAUUUCAAGUGCCACAAUGGGCUGAAAGUAAAUCUCCUUGAGGCUUUGUGUAUGGUACUAAGUUGUUUUGCAUAUCUUUGCCGUUACUUGGACAUGAUUCCUAGAUUUGGCAGAUCGGUCCCACAACUAUGCAUGUUGCACCCUCAUCUUCAACUGGUCUAUUAUUCACUGACUGAAUCAAAAUUGAUUUAUAUGUCCAUACAAAAAAAAACUUAAAGAAUUUAUCAGUACAUGAAUUUAUGAAACCUUUCAUCAAUGGUUCAUUCCAACAAAAAUAACUUCCUAAUAAACACUUCCUAAUAAAUAUUUUGUAAGCAAUAAACAUUUGGCUUUAAACUCUUAAA